rnacentral:rRNA from 1 species
UGAGGAAUUUUGCGCAAUGGGAGCAAUCCUGACGCAGCAACGCCGCGUGGGUGAUGAAGGCCUUCGGGUCGUAAAGCCCUGUCAGGGUGGGGAAAGAAUGGUCCCCGGGACUGAACAGGUUUCGGGAGUGACGGUACCACCAGAGGAAGCACCGGCUAACUCCGUGCC